rnacentral:rRNA from 1 species
UGGGGAAUAUUGGGCAAUGGGCGAAAGCCUGACCCAGCAACGCCGCGUGAGGGAAGAAGGGUUUCGGCUCGUAAGCCUCUGUCCUAUGGGACGAAGGAAGUGACGGUACCAUAGGAGGAAGCCCCGGCUAACUACGUGCCAGCAGCCGCGGUAAUACAUAGGGGGCGAGCGUUGUCCGGAAUGAUUGGGCGUAAAGGGCGCGUAGGCGGCCUGCUAAGUCUGGAGUGAAAGUCCUGCUUUCAAGGUGGGAAUUGCUUUGGAUACUGGUGGGCUGGAGUGCAGGAGAGGAAAGCGGAAUUACCGGUGUAGCGGUGAAAUGCGUAGAGAUCGGUAGGAACACCAGUGGCGAAGGCGGCUUUCUGGACUGAAACUGACGCUGAGGCGCGAAAGCGUGGGGAGCAAACAGGAUUAGAUACC